CUCAUCUGUAAUACAGCCAGCUCAUAAGGACAACCAGCCCUACCACACUGCACACUGAGAGUUCCCUUCCUGGGAGAAUAUCACCCAGAAGAAGCAAGUUACCAGGUGAUGAAACAGUUGGUGGAGACCCUUGUGAGGCCAGGACUAAGGCCUGCCAGUCACCAUGCGUCUACGACAGUGGAUCCCUCCCAUAAUGAGACAACUCUGACAGCAGCUGCCACCUGGUGAGGGAUCUUGAGCCAGGAGAACCAAGUAAACUAAAACCAUGCCCGCAUUUCUGACCCACAGAAUUUAGGAGAUGGACACAUGCGCAGGAUGUACCCAAAGCCCUAUCCUGGGAGCCAAUUAGAGAGUACUACCUUCAGUCUCUCACAUGAGAACUCAGCAAGUUUUCAAUAGCACAGCCGGGACCGAGGUCAGCCUGAGGAAUGGAAGAUACAAAAGGACCACCAGUGAGCUCAGUACCCGAGUUCUCUCUUCCACUGCAGUCCGUUCUCAUGCUGUCAAGCGUGCUUUAUUUCUUACUUUUAUUUGGCCCAAAUUCAUUCUGCAGAGCAUGUUUCUUUUCCUAUCUUUAAUAAACAUAAA